GCUGAAGAGGGGUCAGGGGAACAGCCAUCACCUGUAGAAGGAAAGGGACACAUCAACAUUGUGAAAGUCUGAAGAUUGAUCCUAUUGGAGAUGGUUACAAACUGACAAUUUAAUAAUUCAGACUAGAAUUUUUCUGGAGAAUGACAACACCCUUUCUAUGAUGAAUAGGAAGAAUCAGAGAAGCAUGGGAAAAGAUACAAAUUGAUACAGAAUGAAGUAACCAGAAACAGGAAAAUAGUGGCUACAACAAAUAUUAGUCUUAAGAACAAAAAAGAAACAACUCUGUAUUUAUAAUAACCAAGUUUGGAUAUGAAGAAGAGAUGAAGAAUGACGCUUUCUCCUUUCUUUGCAAAUGGGGAGGACUUUAGACCUCUAUGGAAGAUGAACCAACUACUUCCUAAUGCAGCUGAUGCUACUUUCAAAUAGCUAUGAUCAUUAGGAAACUUUUCCUGAUGUCAAGUACAAAUUUAUCUUUUUGCAAUUUCUACUCAUUUCUCUGCUUCCCAGGACCAAACAGAAGUCCUACCUUUCCUCCAAGUGAUAGUUCUUUAAAUAGUUGAAAGCAGCUAUUAUGUUAUUAUGUUGUUUCCUAAUUCCUCUCCUCCAAGUGUCUUUUAUUCAUGUCCAGCCUCCUACCAUCCUAUCCUCUCAGUAUGAAGAAAGUGAAAAUUAAGUGACUUGUCCAAAGUGCUAAUGAUCAUAGACAGUAAGUAAUUGAAACCAAGUUCCAGUACUAUUGUCACUGUAGCAUAGUGACCAGAAUCCAGUUUUGGGAAGAACAAUGACUCUAUUGUAGAUAUUAUAUAUACACCAGGAAAGCAAAGAGAUGCUCUCUGUUUAAUAUAUCACUUCAUAUAAGUCAUUUAAUGUCUGGGUUCAACUUUAACUUAGUUCUGCUCUGUUUGAGAUAGAUGAUCUCUGUAUAUAUCAAUGAUGUCUUCUGGUCCCAAUCUAUUUUCCAGAGAUAUUAUAACUUUCUUAAAUCCUCAAGUACCAAUUCUAUGGCUCCAAGCAAGAUAAUUUACAAGAAACUCAAGAAUUUGGCUUCCUCAGAACAGAUUUUGGUUCACAUGUUCAGGCAUAGGCUUCCAUUCUCCCAUACUUUUUCCCUCCUUUGUAAUAUUUCCCCCCUUCAAUAGCUUAAAUCUCAAGCUGGUAUUUCACAUUCCUUUGGACUGAGCUAUGGACUUUCACCUUGUAAUUCCCAAAAGGAGACAGAGUAUAAGCUCCCAUUAUUUGACAUUGGUAAACAUGCCUGAAGCCAACAAAUGGUUUUUAAUUAUCCAGCCAUGGGUCUUUGAAAUACUUUUA